UUUUUAUGAGACAGAGUCUCACUCUGUGGCCCAGGCUGGAGUGCGGUGGUGCAGUCUCAGCUCACUGCAGUAGGAACAUAGGUAAUUUGAAAUUGGUGCGGAGUUUUAAAUUGUGGGAUCAAAACUCUCGCUUCCAUUUUAUAGAAAGUUGGCGAGGAGACAGCCCCGUGCUGUCUGGGCGCCCGGCCUCACUGUCCCCAGGAGGUUCGGCUGCUUCUCCCCUGCGUUCUCCACGUCCGUGAGGGUGGCUCUGACUGAGACUCAAGUUAAAUUCUGUGAAGAACAGCCCCGGGGCUCCUGACCCCAUCCUGGCACUGGCCGGGCCUGCGUGUCCGUGAGCGCAGAGCUGCGUUGCCUGUCACUCCAGGGCCCCAUGCCCGAGGCCCCUCCUGGUGGGAGGCAGACACCCCUGGGCACACGAGGAACCAUGUUUUCCUGUGUCCCCCUGACACCUCCUCAUCCCCAGGUCCACGCCCUGCCCCAGCGUGAAGCACGGGGGUCGGGGUGGGGGAGCCAAG
rnacentral:lncRNA from 1 species